AGGAGCCUGCCCUCUUGAGCUCUUGUGGUGACCUGGGAAUCAAUGUGUGAGGUGGUGCUAUGUAGCAGGAACCCCUCUUGCUUUGCAAAUAGUUUUUUGUUUGUUUUCCUUUUUGCCCAAUAGAGCCCUGCUCUACUGACCCUUCAAUGUGCCCGUGUGCCUAAAUAUUCCUGGUCGUGUGAAAAGAACCCAGGUAUUAGCUGAACUAAGGAGCACAAUUCUGCAACAUUUUGGCACCCAAACACGGGGCUUGAGAAAUGAAUGCAAUUGGAGAAACUGGUUGUUUUACCAGGCGUUGAUUGGAAAUGUGUGCUUCCCUUUAAGCAGUCAAGCUCAACUUGCAGAACUGAUGGGAACCCCUUGGGAAAACUGGCCUCAAAUGUUUGUCUACACAGUCCACAUACAGGGUUCUUAACCUGCGACUGACCCUGCUUGUGCCUGUGAACCAACCAACAAUCUCUGGCUGCAGCUCAGAAAGGACAAAAGAGAAUGGAUGAGGGAAACUUCCCAGGGCUUGUCUGGGUAUGCCCACAGUGGACUGGAGCCCAAAAUGCACACUGGAGGAAGUGGAUGGAGCCACGUGGAUGUCAUGCCUUAUGCAGGGGAGGAGCCUGCUCUCUUCAGCUCCUGUGGUAAUGUGGGAAUCGAUCUGUGAGGUGAGGACCUGUUAGCAGGAACCCCUCUUGCUUUGCUGAAAGUUUUAUUUUUCUUUUUGCCCUAUAAAACCCUGUUCUACUAACCCUUCAAUAUGUCUGCAUUCCUAAAUUUUCCUGGUCAUGUGACGAGAACCUAGGUUUUAGCUGAACUAAGGAGCAAAAUUCUGCAACAUAAAGUCAAAGAAAACUAUGCCUAUAUCCAUUAAAUCAAAUGUUAAAAAGCAAAUAUAAAGAAAAAGUCUUCACAGCCCUAGAGAAAAGUGAAACAUUGUACAUAAAGAAGUAAUAAUUUGAAUGGAUUGUCAGAAACCAUGACUAGAAGACAGAGGAGCAAUAUUUUCAAAUUUCAUAGAGAAAGGAAAAAAAGAAAAGAAGAAAAAAAAGAAGACAUAAUAAAACACCUGUCAUUUUAGUAUUCUGUACCCAUUGAACAUAACCUUCAAUAGAAUGUGAAGUAGACAUAUUCAGGUGAAUAAAAAAUCAAGAGAAUAAUAGUUAUGUUCUACAUGAAAUUAUAAAGGAAAUUUCUCAGACUAGGUGGAAAUUAUACUAGUGAGAAACAGAUUUGAAGGACUAAAGGAAGAGAUGAUAGACUGACAAAGUCAAUUUUUAAAAGCCAGAUCUAACUUCUUAUUGGCUACAAGGAAUCCACUUUUAAUAUACAAAAAUAGGUAAUAAUUAAAUUGCUAGAAAAUACAUUUCAAAUAAAGAAUCAGCACAUGUAGCUUGGAGAAGAUAUAUUAACAUAAAAAGGACUUCAAUAAAAGGAGUAUUAUGAGAAGACAUUUAUGCAGCCAAAAAACACAUGAAAAAAUGCUCACCAUCACUGGCCAUCAGAG
rnacentral:lncRNA from 1 species